rnacentral:rRNA from 1 species
GUGUAGCAAUACACGCUGAUGGCGACCGGCAAACGGGUGCGGAACACGUACGCAAUCUACCCAUAACUGGGGCAUAGCCCGGGGAAACCCGGAUUAAUACCUCGUAACAUCAUGUGGUGGCAUCACUAUAUGAUUAUAGCUCCGGCGGUUAUGGAUGAGCGUGCGGCUGAUUAGGUAGUUGGCAGGGUAACGGCCUACCAAGCCUACGAUCAGUAACUGGUGUGAGAGCACGACCAGUCACACGGGCACUGAGACACGGGCCCGACUCCUACGGGAGGCAGCAGUAAGGAAUAUUGGGCAAUGGACGCAAGUCUGACCCAGCCAUGCCGCGUGGAGGAUGAAGGCCUCUGGGUUGUAAACUUCUUUUAUCUGGGACGAAACCCUCUUAUUCUUAGGAGAUUGACGGUACCAGAGGAAUAAGCACCGGCUAA